AACAAACGCUGGCGGCGUGCCUAAUACAUGCAAGUCGAACGGGGAAAGCUUUCGGGUGAGUACUAGUGGCGCACGGGUGAGGAACGCGUGGGUAAUUUUCCUUGAAGUGGGGGAUAACUAGUCGAAAGAUUAGCUAAUACCGCAUAAGACCACGAAAUCUGAGGAUUUUGAGGUAAAAGGUUUUUCGCUUCAAGAUAAGCCCGCGUAAGAUUAGCUAGUUGGUGAGGUAUGGCUCACCAAGGCGACGAUCUUUAGCUGGUCUGAGAGGAUGAUCAGCCACACUGGAACUUAGACACGGUCCAGACUCCUACGGGAGGCAGCAGUAGGGAAUAUUGCACAAUGGAGGAAACUCUGAUGCAGCGACGCCGCGUGAGUGAUGAAGGACUUCGGUUCGUAAAGCUCUGUCGCAUGGGAAUAAUAAAUGAAGGUACCAUGCAAGAAAGGAUCGGCUAACUUCGUGCCAGCAGCCGCCGUAA
rnacentral:rRNA from 1 species